rnacentral:rRNA from 1 species
UACGGAGGGAGCUAGCGUUGUUCGGAAUUACUGGGCGUAAAGCGCGCGUAGGCGGCUUUGUAAGUUAGAGGUGAAAGCCCGGAGCUCAACUCCGGAACUGCCUUUAAAACUGCAUCGCUUGAAUCCAGGAGAGGCGAGUGGAAUUCCGAGUGUAGAGGUGAAAUUCGUAGAUAUUCGGAAGAACACCAGUGGCGAAGGCGACUUACUGGACACAUAUUGACGCUGAGGUGCGAAAGCGUGGGGAGCAAACAGG